rnacentral:rRNA from 1 species
CCUACGGGGGGCUGCAGUGGGGAAUUUUGGACAAUGGGCGCAAGCCUGAUCCAGCAAUGCCGCGUGCAGGACGAAGGCCUUCGGGUUGUAAACUGCUUUUGUACGGAGCGAAAAGGCUCUCUCUAAUACAGGGGGCUCAUGACGGUACCGUAAGAAUAAGCACCGGCUAACUACGUGCCAGCAGCCGCGGUAAUACGUAGGGUGCAAGCGUUAAUCGGAAUUGCUGGGCGUGAAACGUAAGACGGCGGUUAAAUCCACGGGCUCAACCUGGGAACGGCCUUUGUGACUGCAUAGCUAGAGUACGGCAGAGGGGGAUGGAAUUCCGCGUGUAGCAGUGAAAUGCGUAGAUAUGCGGAGGAACACCGAUGGCGAAGGCAAUCCCCUGGGCCUGUACUGACGCUCAUGCACGAAAGCGUGGGGAGCAAACAGGAUUAGAUACCCGUGUAGUC